rnacentral:rRNA from 1 species
CUACGGGAUGCAGCAGUGGGGAAUAUUGGACAAUGGGGGAAACCCUGAUCCAGCAAUGCCGCGUGUGUGAAGAAGGCCUGCGGGUUGUAAAGCACUUUCGGUUGGGAGGACUGCUUCUAGCACUAAUAUUGUUGGAAGUUGACGUUACCUUCAGAAGAAGCGCCGGCUAACUCCGUGCCAGCAGCCGCGGUAAUACGGAGGGUGCAGAGCGUUAAUCGGAAUUACUGGGCGUAAAGCGCGCGUAGGCGGCUAGAUCAGUCGGGUGUGAAAGCCCCGGGCUUAACCUGGGAACUGCAUCCGAUACUGUCUAGCUUGAGUACAGGAGAGGAGAGUGGAAUUCCACAUGUAGCGGUGAAAUGCGUAGAUAUGUGGAGGAACACCAAUGGCGAAGGCAGCUCUCUGGCCUGAUACUGACGCUGAGGUGCGAAAGCGUGGGGAGCAAACAGGAUUAGAUACCCCGGUAGUC